rnacentral:rRNA from 1 species
UACGUAGGGUGCGAGCGUUGUCCGGAAUUAUUGGGCGUAAAGAGCUUGUGAGGCGGUUUGUCGCGUCUGCUGUGAAAAUCCGGGGCUCAACCCGGACUUGCAGUGGGUACGGCAGACUAGAGUGUGGUAGGGAGACUGGAAUUCCUGGUGUAGCGGUGAAAAUGCGCAGAUAUCAGGAGGAACACCGAUGGCGAAGGCAGGUCUCUGGGCCACUACUGACGCUGAGAAGCGAAAGCAUGGGGAGCGAACAGG